GGACCUUUAGCUCAGUUGGUUAGAGCAUCCGGCUCAUAACCAGAUGGUCAUUGGUUUGAGUCCAAUAAGGUCCACCA
rnacentral:tRNA from 1 species